GAUGAACGCUGGCGGCGUGCCUAAUACAUGCAAGUCGAGCGAACAGACGAGGAGCUUGCUCCUUCGACGUUAGCGGCGGACGGGUGAGUAACACGUAGGUAACCUACCUAUAAGACUGGGAUAACCUCGGGAAACCGGAGCUAAUACCGGAUAAUAUUUCGAACCGCAUGGUUCGAUAGUGAAAGAUGGCUUUGCUAUCACUUAUAGAUGGACCUGCGCCGUAUUAGCUAGUUGGUAAGGUAACGGCUUACCAAGGCAACGAUACGUAGCCGACCUGAGAGGGUGAUCGGCCACACUGGAACUGAGACACGGUCCAGACUCCUACGGGAGGCAGCAGUAGGGAAUCUUCCGCAAAGGGCGAAAGCCUGACGGAGCAACGCCGCGUGAGUGAUGAAGGUCUUCGGAUCGUAAAACUCUGUUAUUAGGGAAGAACAAACGUGUAAGUAACUGUGCACGUCUUGACGGUACCUAAUCAGAAAGCCACGGCUAACUACGUG
rnacentral:rRNA from 1 species